rnacentral:sRNA from 1 species
ACCGGAAGCACCGCCAUUGGCCGGUGCGUGCAGGUGGCAGCCAAGAGCCUCCUGGCACAGCGGCACCAGGCAGGUGGCGCCUAUUGGACCCCAGAGGUCAUCCCAGCUCCAGACGUGGGCACAUUUUCUUCCAAUGGUACGUGAAGCUUGAACCUUGCAGAGAACAUGUGUAUUUUCCAAGUGAACAGAAGAUUAAGGCCAGUCCACGCAGGGCAGGGGUAACUGGGGUGUUGGGGGCCUGCACUGGUUAAGCGAUGCUGGUGCACCCCAUAGAGAGACUACAGAGGUGAACAGGAUGGGAUGUGUAUGUAACGCCUGUAAGUUAGGGAUCGGGGUUCCAUUUGUGUUGGGUGAUAUUUGAUGGGGACCGUACAAGGCAGUGCUAAUGAGGAAGGCAUGGGGUUGGAUUUCAGAGUCUAAGGGAGUAGGGAAACAUCUGAUUGUGGAAAUGACUCCGUGUAAGGAGGGAUGCCAAAAGACAGGAAGGAGUGGAGGAAGACUGUGUUUCUGUUUCCAGCGUGGAGCCAGGGUAGAAGUCACAGUGCAAGGAA